rnacentral:rRNA from 1 species
UACAGAGGUCUCGAGCGUUGUUCGGAUUCAUUGGGCGUAAAGGGCGCGUAGGCGGCGGGGUAAGUCUGGUGUGAAAUCUCGGAGCUCAACUCCGAAAUUGCACUGGAUACUGCUCUGCUAGAGGGCUGGAGAGGAGAUCGGAAUUCACGGUGUAGCAGUGAAAUGCGUAGAUAUCGUGAGGAAGACCAGUGGCGAAGGCGGAUCGCUGGACAGCUACUGACGCUGAGGCGCGAAGGCUAGGGGAGCAAACGGG